UGUGAUUUUAUUUAUUAGUCUGGAAAACACAGCAGACAAUUUGUGAUGAUGUCAGCCAAUAUCAUAUAUGAAAAUUUUAACCAAAAUAUGUUUCAGACUGCUACUGUAAGAAGGUUGUGAUGGCAAUGUGUCAUCUUCACAAUAAAGCUCCUUCUCACAGUUCUUGGAGCAUAAAUGGUCACUUCACUCAAUUAAUUUCAGAAAUGAGGAAACUAAUGUUUUGUUUGCUCUUGUCUUGUAUUUGCAGGUAAUCUAAGCAGAGCAUAGUGGAAAAGUUUUUAGCAAAAUGAAAACUCCUUUAGAUAUUGGCAAAUGCAGUUUACAAAGCGUGAAAGAAGAAAUACUACGCUUACAGCGGGAUUUCAUGAUAUAAUCCCUGCUUAUUAUAGAGUAUCUCAGCCUGUCCUUCAAGGAGAGUAUCCUGUUGAAUGGCUGUCAAAGGACAAAACAAGAACCAACAGAUCUGAGCUGCAGAGAUUUACAUGUGAUCUGAUGGUGUGAUCUACGUCAGUUUAGCUGAAUUGUGCAAGCUCCCCAGUGGAAAUUUAAACAGGGAAGUAUGUGUCAACAGACCAGAAUUAAAAAGGUGACAAACUGUGAAGAAUUAAAACUUCUAAUUUAACAGAUGAGCAACUGCAAAUAACAGAAUCUCAGACAAACACUAUUUUAAUGAAAGGUGACAUGCCAGAGAUAAGAGGGUUUUUUUCCUCUCUCUUCAGCAGGUAACCACAAAUUAGUUUAGGAAACCAUACAAUAAUACUGUGAAUGCAGUAACAAAUUCAUAUCCUGUGCUGUUAGUUUUGUUUGCUUGUUUGCUUUCUGAAACCAUAUAUGACAUUUCUUUUGUAAUGGUAUAUUUUCUUCAUACUAGAAGUGUCAACAUUUGUUCAUGUCUGGAAUAGCUCUCAUUCUUAUUACUCUCAGGUCUAAGGCUUAUUUUUCUUCUCCUCCAUAGAGCUUUACAUUUUAGUACAGAGUGGUGGAGAGUGGCAGGUAGGCACUACAGCAGAUUUCUGAAGUUUUCUAGCAUUUUGAGAUACUUCACAGGUACAGUAGUGGUUAGAUAUUUGUUGGCCACUUGCUUGUAAUGAAAUUUUCCAGAGCAAUGUGAAUCAGAAGGAAAACUAAACAGGUAUGAAGCACUCUGAAAGGGCAAUUCUGCUGGUCAGCGUCACUUGGCUACCUCUCUAAGGAUCACAUUGAAAUAAGUUUUCAGAUAUAUGCAAUUAAACUCAAAUGAGUACAAAGGCUAAAUAACUUCAAAUUAGCAACAUACUAAGUUUAUUACACAGCAAAUGAUCAUGCAUUGUCAUACAUAAGAUCCUGAAAAUCACUCCUUUUGUCCUACUGUACUUUAGAAUGUAAAGCAUGACAAGAGGAGUUUUUUGUAAGUUAUAAUUUCAUGAAGAAAAUAACCAACAACUUGAUGCAAGAUCCAGAGAAUGAGAUUUCCAACUCUAUGACAGCUUACUAGGUGUCUUCAAGGUGUCACAGUCAGCCCUCAGCAUCACUUCCAGCUGCAGUCCUGAAUGUAUGGUGUAAAUGCCCCUCGUCAGCAUGCCCCAAGAUAAUUAUCUACCUACUCUCUACUCAUGUGCUUGAAAAUAAUCUUUAAUUUAUUUUCAUGUCUAUGGCAGAUGCCACAGUAAAUCAACCAGUGGGAGUCUCGUAUGCUCCUCUGCCCCACUGGGUAUUAAUGAGUUUUUCAUUUAAAUUUCAUUAGGGAAUGAUUUCAUGAAUUCAGUAUAUGGGACUUAUGGUUUAAAUUGUUUAGAAGUGGCACUUUGGCUCUGCAAAUGUAAAGUAUAUAUGACAGUGGGGUAUGUUUGGCUACAUAACACUCCUGUGAUUAAUUGGUCUAUAUUUUAUGUAAUAAUUUGAAUCUAAAGCAAAUGCCACAACUUGCAUUUUUCCACCCUGAAAAAUAGCAUGAACUAGCUAUGCCUUUCUAGACUGCAAGUAAAUUUAAUCAUAAGUGAGUCCGGUUUAUGUAUGUUUGGGGAAGAAGGACUUUCCCCCUCAGCAAUAUCCUAUAAUAAAUAAUGGAACUGGAAGGUCGUUUUGCUUAGA
ensembl:lncRNA